AGUAAGGAAGGUUUCCAACUUUAAGGGACACACAGAGCGUGUUACUGAUGUAAUGUUUUCUCCAGUGAGUGAGUGUUUAGCAACUGCGUCUGCUGACCGAACUGCAAGGUUGUGGUCUGCUGAAGGAUCUCUCCUUAAAACAUUCGAGGGCCAUUUGGACCGCCUUGCACGAAUUGCCUUCCACCCAUCAGGCAAGUACUUG
rnacentral:misc_RNA from 1 species